AUUACAGAAACAGGUCAGACAGCAUUAGUUACACAGAACCCUGAUGUUUGAAUGUUCCACUCUUUAAUCGUGAAAGAGGUCCACGCUAAAAUAGUGAAACGUGUUAGCAAGCAUGAAGAAUCUUUAACAUUGAAGCUUGCUUGGUAGCGAGCUUAUCCCCUUAACCUUUUCUUUUAGUGCUCUGCCAAUCCAUUGCCAAACCCGUGAAAUUAUUUGUUGUGAUAUAAUGGGUGGUCCUGACUCCCCAUUUAUAAUGAGCAUGCUAGCUAGCCUCAUUUUUCUCAUGAGCCAAAAUGUGUGUCGGCCUUGAUUCUUGGUGAAGUAACAACCUUAUUAAUAAUUUGAAGGCAGGCCUCAUCAAAGAAAACAUCAAGAAAUCAUUCACUUGUAAAGAUUUUAGUCUCUCAUCAACUUUGUAGCAAUUAGCAUCAUUGUUAGAGACAUCCAUGGGCCAUUGUGUGUUGUGAAGUGCUACACUUUGCUGUAAAUAAUUUGUGCUCCUGGAAUGCUCGGUAAAGAAAUGGUACUGUUUAAAGAAAUGGAUAUUACAACUACAUAACAUUUUCUGUACUUGGAAAAUCACACAAGGGUCGAGCUGAGAGACAAUAAAGUAUAGGUGUAGCUAUUACCAAGUACAAGCAAUGGAUCAAGCCAAAGAAAUAUAGUUUGAAUAGAAAUAGUUAUGAUAACAGUACUCACAUUCACUCACAUAUAAUUCAGUGACAUAUAUAAUCAAAAAAUGGUUUGAAAUCGAAGAAGAUGAACGAAAUGCUGCUGGAUAAUCCUCUCAACAUAAAUUAUACUCUCAACAAUGACAUUUUCUCUUACAAGAACAAGACCAGCACACCUGAAACUGCCAAAAUCAGUUGAAUCCAAAUACCAGAGUUGAUGAUUCUAUAUGCAGAGUUUGGCGGGGCAAUUCCUGGAGCAUGUCCUCCUCCAGUCAAUUCAGAUUUUGGAGAGUCUGCAGCAGGGCUAAUCUCAGGAGCUGGUGCUGGGGCAGGAGUUGGAGGUAUAUCAGCACCAAAAAUUGCUUCUGGCAGAAGCACUUUAUCAACUUGAUAGAUUGCAACAGGAUCAGUUGAAUGCACACUACUGCUAACUUUAGUUUUAGACCAUCCUGAAUCAAGGUGCACAGUUCCAGAUACAUCCGUAAAGUUUAAACUAAAUUCACCAGAACCGGCAAAUGUGCUAACAGGACUUGAUUGGCUAAGGUUCUUGAAAUCUGCGAGUGAAUAAUAAUGAGGCAAGGCAUGGAAAAGAAUGACUUGCUUGAGCUGGUCUUGAGUGAGGUUUGACAAAGAAGGCUUCUUAAGAGAUGAAAAGGCGCUGUCUUUGGGUACAAAGAUGGUAAUGCCUUCUUCUGUGUUGUUGGCUUGGUUUUGGAAAGUGUCAAUUACCUUGGUGGAUUCAAGGUAAUUAAGGAAUGUAUGGAAUGGACCAGCAACAGAAAGUAAAUCAGUGAGAUUCACAUAAGGAGGUAUUGGUGCUGGAGCUGGAGCUGGAGUUGGAGGCAGGAUUGGUGCUGGAGGACUAGCAGCAUGAACAUUUGUUGGUGAACUGACCAAAAACAGUAGUGUACUGCUAAACAUAAAAAUCAUGGAGAACUCCAUGGUUUUCAGAAAGUUUAUGUAACAAUUUGUGGAACACUCUCCAAAUUCCUGCAAGAUCCAAAUGCCACAGUGAUUACAUAUAUCUCAGCCUAUCAACACAGGCAAGAACAACCCAUUAAUGAACAAAAAAUAAAUAAAAUACCCUAUGUGAGCAGAAAAUUUUCCAUUUUGCAAAAUAAAGAUGGCAUUUCCUAAUCUCUACAAGUAAAAUGGAAAUCCAGAACACAAUGACUCUAACUGCUAAGCAAAAGCCAGAUCUUGAUCCGCUCACCAGCGAAACAGAAAAAAAAAACCGCAAAAAUGCUUUCUUUUUUUGCUAGUCUCAUAUAAAUUCUAAACUAAUUUAAUACAGAAAGCUUGAAGGAGGAUCUAAGAGGGGGCAUCAAAUGAUAGAUAAGUGAUGCAAUGGAAGAUUACAGUUGAAUAUAAAGACUAUGAAACAAGAAAUUGCAUGAAAAUAUCGCAAGAACAAGAUACUAUGCCCUACUUGCUACAGCUCCAGAAGGUCCAAUGCCCUUGCCAAAAAAAAAAAAAAUCAAAAUCAUCCACAAAAUAGAGU
rnacentral:misc_RNA from 1 species